rnacentral:rRNA from 1 species
CCUACGGGGGGCAGCAGUGAGGAAUCUUCCACAAUGGACGAAAGUCUGAUGGAGCGACACCGCGUGAAGGAUGAAGGCCUAACGGUUGUAAACUUCUUUUCUGAAGGAGCAUAAUGAGAGUACUUCAGGAAUAAGGGACGGCUAAAUACGUGCCAGCAGCCGCGGUAAUACGUAUGUCUCGAGCGUUACCCGGAAUUACUGGGUGUAAAGGGUUCGUAGGCGGUUUAAUAAGUUAGAUAUGAAAGACCAGAGCUCAACUCUGUGAUGGUGUUUAAAACUGUUAAGCUAGAAUCAGAGAGAGGUAAGUGGAAUUCUGUGUGUAGAGGUGUAAUCCGUAGAUACUCAGAGGAACACCAAUAGCGAAGGCAACUUACUGGAUCUGUAUUGACGCUCAUGAACGAAAGCGUGGGUAGCGAAAAGGAUUAGAUACCCUAGUAGUC